rnacentral:rRNA from 1 species
GACGAACGCUGGCGGCGUGCCUAAUACAUGCAAGUAGAACGCUGAAGAGAGGAGCUUGCUCUUCUUGGAUGAGUUGCGAACGGGUGAGUAACGCGUAGGUAACCUGCCUUGUAGCGGGGGAUAACUAUUGGAAACGAUAGCUAAUACCGCAUAACAAUGGAUGACCCAUGUCAUUUAUUUGAAAGGGGCAAAUGCUCCACUACAAGAUGGACCUGCGUUGUAUUAGCUAGUAGGUGAGGUAACGGCUCACCUAGGCGACGAUACAUAGCCGACCUGAGAGGGUGAUCGGUCACACUGGGACUGAGACACGGCCCAGAUUCCUACGGGAGGCAGCAGUAGGGAAUCUUCGGCAAUGGGGGCAACCCUGACCGAGCAACGCCGCGUGAGUGAAGAAGGUUUUCGGAUCGUAAAGCUCUGUUGUAAGUCAAGAACGAGUGUGAGAGUGGAAAGUUCACACUGUGACGGUAGCUGACCAGAAAGGGACGGCUAACUACGUG